AGUGAACGCUGGCGGUAGGCCUAACACAUGCAAGUCGAACGGCAGCACAGUAAGAGCUUGCUCUUACGGGUGGCGAGUGGCGGACGGGUGAGGAAUACAUCGGAAUCUACUUUUUCGUGGGGGAUAACGUAGGGAAACUUACGCUAAUACCGCAUACGACCUACGGGUGAAAGCAGGUGAUCUUCGGACCUUGCGCGAUUGAAUGAGCCGAUGUCGGAUUAGCUAGUUGGCGGGGUAAAGGCCCACCAAGGCGACGAUCCGUAGCUGGUCUGAGAGGAUGAUCAGACCAAGUAGAACUGAGACACGGUCCAGACUCCUACGGGAGGCAGCAGUGGGGAAUAUUGGACAAUGGGCGCAAGCCUGAUCCAGCCAUACCGCGUGGGUGAAGAAGGGCUUCGGGUUGUAAAGCCCUUUUGUUGGGAAAGAAAAGCAGCAGGUUAAUACCCCGCCGUUCUGACGGUACCCAAAGAAUAAGCACCGGCUAACUUCGUG
rnacentral:rRNA from 1 species